rnacentral:rRNA from 1 species
GACGAACGCUGGCGGCGUGCUUAACACAUGCAAGUCGAACGGAAAGGCCCUGCUUUUGUGGGGUGCUCGAGUGGCGAACGGGUGAGUAACACGUGAGUAACCUGCCCUUGACUUUGGGAUAACUUCAGGAAACUGGGGCUAAUACCGGAUAGGAGCUCCUGCUGCAUGGUGGGGGUUGGAAAGUUUCGGCGGUUGGGGAUGGACUCGCGGCCUAUCAGCUUGUUGGUGGGGUAGUGGCUUACCCAGGCUUUGACGGGUAGCCGGCCUGAGAGGGUGACCGGCGACAUUGGGACUGAGAUACGGCCCAGACUCCUACGGGAGGCAGCAGUGGGGAAUAUUGCACAAUGGGCGGAAGCCUGAUGCAGCAACGCCGCGUGCGGGAUGACGGCCUUCGGGUUGUAAACCGCUUUCGCCUGUGACGAAGCGUGAGUGACGGUAAUGGGUAAAGAAGCACCGGCUAACUACGUG